rnacentral:rRNA from 1 species
GACGUAGGGGGCGAGCGUUGUCCGGAUUUACUGGGCGUAAAGAGCGCGUAGGCGGUCUGUUAAGUCAGAAGUGAAAUCUCCAGGGCUCAACCCGGAAACUGCUUUUGAUACUGAUAGACUUGAGUGUCGGAGAGGUAACUGGAAUUCCUGGUGUAGCGGUGACAUGCAUUGAUAUCAGGAGGAACACCCACGGCGAAGGCAGGUUACGGGCCGACAACUGACGCUGAGGCGCGAAAGCGUGGGUAGCAAACAG